rnacentral:lncRNA from 1 species
UGUUUCUAUACAAUGGUAGUGGCUGUCUAUUUAAUAUAUUUGGAGCUAGACUUUUGCAUCUUGCUGGUGCUGAUUUAAGUAGUGUCUUUAUUCCUUUAUUAUUUCCUGUUGUGAGGGUAUAAAGUGAUUCUUGCUUGGAUUGCAUUUGAUUUCGAGUGUCGGUGUCGUUAACUUAGAUGCGUAGUGACCGGAAAUAAUGGCAUUGCAUAUUUGUCUGUAUUCUGAUGACUUGUGUCGACAUAGCUUUUUGAUCGUUUAAGCUGAUCUAGUCGGGGUAGUGGCAUGAUAAUUGACUCGAUUCUCAGAGAGUUUAUGUUAUGUUGUUAUGUUAUGGUCUCAGAGAGAUUAGAAUCGAAUUGUUGUGAAACACUGUCAAAUUAGAAUGAUUUGGUUGAGCACUAGUAGAGGUCAAGAGUUGCAAUAUUUCCAUCUUGAAAAGUGCAGGAUAUGAAAAACGUUGAAGAUCUGUGGAUCUGUAGUUGAUGAUUUGGGAUAGAUAUGCCACAGAAUUCAAAAGUGUGUUAUCUUGAUAAAGAAGAAGUGAUUUGUGUUGAAGAAAGGUCCACACUGGUAGGGUUUAGGGUUUCUUGGUCGCUGACAACAUCAAGCACAAUGCCUCCCUAACCACUCAUUACUCAUAUAUAGAUGUGAAGUUAAACUGAUUCAUGCAAUUUUCUUUCUUAGCUUCAUUUCUAUUUUGGUAUAUGCAGAGGGUUGAGUACACAUUAUCAGCUAGGGGGGGCUUGGGU